GGUUCGGUCUGGCUCAGAUUGAACGCUGGCGGGAUGCUUUACACAUGCAAGUCAGACGGCAGCCUGGACUUCGGUCUGGUGGCGAGUGGCGAACGGGUGAGCGAUAAUGCUUAUCGGAACGUACCCUAGUAGCGGGGGAUAACUACGCGAAAGCGUAGCUAAUACCGCAUACGCCCUUCGAGGAAAGCGGGGGACCUUCGGGCCUCGCACUAUUAGAGCAGCCGAUAUCAGGUCGCUUCGUUGGUGGGAGUAACGGCUCACCAAGGCGACGAUCCAUGUGGUUUGAGAGGACGACCAGCCACACUGGGACUGAGACACGGCCCAGACUCCUACGGGAGGCAGCAGUGGGGAAUUUUGGACGUGGAAACCCUGAUCCAGCCAUCCCGUGUGCGAUGAAGGCCUUCGGGUUGUAAAGCACUUUUGGCAGGAAAGAAACGGCACGGGAUAAUACCCCGUGCAACUGACGGUACCUGCAGAAUAGCCACGAAAGUAACUACGUGCCAGCAGCCGCGGUAAUGCGUAGGGUGCAAGCGUUAAUCGGAAUUACUGGGCGUAAAGCGUGCGCAGGCGGUUGGAAAAGAUGUGAAAUCCCAGAGCUUAACUUUGCGGGCUGCAUUUUUAACUAUACAAUGAAGUGUGUCAGAGGAGGUGGAAUUCCGCGUGUAGCAGUGAAAUGCGUAGAUAUGCGGAGGAACACCGAUGGCGAGGCAGCCUCCUGGGAUAACACUGACGCUCAUGCACAGAAAGCGUGAGGUAAACAGGAUUAGAUACCCUGGUAGUCCACGCCUAACGAUGUCGCUAACUGUUGGGGCCUUCGGACAGCAGUGGCCAGCUAACGCGUGAAGUUGACCGCCUGGGGAGUACAGUCGCAAGAUUAAAACUCAAAGGAAUUGACGAGGGACCGCACAAGCGGGUGGAUGAUGUGGAUUAAUUCGAUGCAACGCGAAAAGCCUUUACCUACCCUUGAUAUCUGGAAUCCCGAAGAGAUUUGGGAGUGCUCGCAAGAGAACCGGAACACAGGUGCUGCAUGGCUGUCGUCAGCUCGUGUCGUGAAGUGUUGGGUUAAGUCCCGCAACGAGCGCAACCCUUGUCGUGGUUGCUACGAAGGCCUCUAAUGAGACUGCCGGUGACAAACCGGAGGAAGGUGGGGAUGACGUCAAGUCCUCAUGGCUUAUAUGGUGGGGCUUCACACAUCGCCACAAUGGUCGGGACAGAGGGUCGCCAACCCCACGAGAAGACCAAUCCCAGAAACCCGAUCGUAGUCCGGAUCGCAGUCUGCCAACUCUGACUGCGUGAAGUCAGAUCCACUUUAGUAAUCGCGGAUCAGCAUGUCGCGGUGAAUACGUUCCGGGUCUUGCGCACCGCCCGUCACCAUGGGAGUGGGUUUUGCAGAAGUAGUUAGCCUAACCGUAAGGAGGGCGAUUACCACGGUAGGAUUCAUGACUGGGGUGAAGUCGUAACUGAGUAG
rnacentral:rRNA from 1 species